UGGAAGGGUUUCUCGCGCAAACUAUUCAGUUUAGAAAAAAAUGAUAUUAGAAACCUCAAUAUCAUUUUUGGGGACCUAUCCAUAGAUACCCACACGUAUGGGUUUGAUGAAAAAAAAAAUUUCGAGUUUCAUUUAUGACGUAUUAAAAAAAAACUACUUACUAGAUCUCGUUCAAACCAAUUUUCGGUGGAAGUGUGCAUGGUAAUGUAAAUCACAUAUUUUUUUCAGUUUUAUCAUUCUCUUAUUUUAGAAGUUACAGGGGGGGGGGGGGGGGCACACACAUUUUACCACUUUGGAAGUGUCUCUCGCGCAAACUAUUCAGUUUAGAAAAAAAUGAUAUUAGAAACCUCAAUAUCAUUUUUGAAGACCUAUCCAUAGAUACCCCACACGUACCUAUGGGUUUGAUGAAAAAAAUUUUUUUGAGUUUCAGUUCCAAGUAUGGGGAACCCCCAAAAUUUAUUGUUUUUUUUUCUAUUUUUGUGUGAAAAUCUUAAUGCU